GAGUUUGAUCUUGGCUCAGAACGAACGCUGGCGGCAGGCUUAACACAUGCAAGUCGAGCGCUCCGCAAGGGGAGCGGCAGACGGGUGAGUAACGCGUGGGAACCUUCCCAGUGGUACGGAAUAGCUCAGGGAAACUUGGGGUAAUACCGUAUAAGCCCUUCGGGGGAAAGAUUUAUCGCCAUUGGAUGGGCCCGCGUCGGAUUAGCUAGUCGGUGAGGUAACGGCUCACCAAGGCGACGAUCCGUAGCUGGUCUGAGAGGAUGAUCAGCCACACUGGGACUGAGACACGGCCCAGACUCCUACGGGAGGCAGCAGUGGGGAUAUUGGACAAUGGGCGCAAGCCUGAUCCAGCCAUGCCGCGUGCAGGAAGACGGUCCUAUGGAUUGUAAACUGCUUUUGUACGGAGAACACUCCUACGUGUAGGAGCUUGACGGUACCGUAAGAAUAAGGAUCGGCUAACUCCGUGCCAGCAGCCACCGU
rnacentral:rRNA from 1 species